AGCGAACGCUGGCGGCAGGCUUAACACAUGCAAGUCGAGCGGGCACUUCGGUGUCAGCGGCAGACGGGUGAGUAACACGUGGGAACGUACCCUUUGGUUCGGAAUAACGCUGGGAAACUAGCGCUAAUACCGGAUACGCCCUUUUGGGGAAAGGCUUGCUGCCGAAGGAUCGGCCCGCGUCUGAUUAGCUAGUUGGGGGGUAAUGGCCUACCAAGGCGACGAUCAGUAGCUGGUCUGAGAGGAUGAUCAGCCACACUGGGACUGAGACACGGCCCAGACUCCUACGGGAGGCAGCAGUGGGGAAUAUUGGACAAUGGGCGCAAGCCUGAUCCAGCCAUGCCGCGUGAGUGAUGAAGGCCUUAGGGUUGUAAAGCUCUUUUGUCCGGGACGAUAAUGACGGUACCGGAAGAAUAAGCCCCGGCUAACUUCGUG
rnacentral:rRNA from 1 species